UACGUAGGGUGCAAGCGUUGUCCGGAAUUAUUGGGCGUAAAGAGCGUGUAGGCGGCCAUACAGGUCAGCUGUGAAAACUCGAGGCUCAACCUCGAGACGUCGGUUGAAACCGUACGGCUAGAGUCCGGAAGAGGAGAGCGGAAUUCCCGGUGUAGCGGUGAAAUGCGCAGAUAUCGGGAAGAACACCCGUGGCGAAGGCGGCUCUCUGGGACGGUACUGACGCUGAGACGCGAAAGCGUGGGGAGCGAACAGG
rnacentral:rRNA from 1 species